UACGGAGGGUGCAAGCGUUAUCCGGAUUUAUUGGGUUUAAAGGGUCCGUAGGCGGAUCUGUAAGUCAGUGGUGAAAUCUCACAGCUUAACUGUGAAACUGCCAUUGAUACUGCAGGUCUUGAGUAAAGUAGAAGUGGCUGGAAUAAGUAGUGUAGCGGUGAAAUGCAUAGAUAUUACUUAGAACACCAAUUGCGAAGGCAGGUCACUAUGUUUUAACUGACGCUGAUGGACGAAAGCGUGGGGAGCGAACAGGAUUAGAUACCCUGGUAGUCCACGCCGUAAACGAUGCUAACUCGUUUUUGGGGCUUCGGCUUCAGAGACUAAGCGAAAGUGAUAAGUUAGCCACCUGGGGAGUACGUUCGCAAGAAUGAA
rnacentral:rRNA from 1 species